rnacentral:rRNA from 1 species
GAUUAAGUUAUUAAGGGCGCACGGUGGAUGCCUUGGCACUAGAAGCCGAUGAAGGACGUUACUAACGACGAUAUGCUUUGGGGAGCUGUAAGUAAGCUUUGAUCCAGAGAUUUCCGAAUGGGGAAACCCAGCAUGAGUUAUGUCAUGUUAUCGAUAUGUGAAUACAUAGCAUAUCAGAAGGCACACCCGGAGAACUGAAACAUCUUAGUACCCGGAGGAAGAGAAAGAAAAUUCGAUUCCCUUAGUAGCGGCGAGCGAAACGGGAAGAGCCCAAACCAACAAGCUUGCUUGUUGGGGUUGUAGGACACUCUAUACGGAGUUACAAAGGACGACAUUAGACGAAUCAUCUGGAAAGAUGAAUCAAAGAAGGUAAUAAUCCUGUAGUCGAAAAUGUUGUCUCUCUUGAGUGGAUCCUGAGUACGACGGAGCACGUGAAAUUCCGUCGGAAUCUGGGAGGACCAUCUCCUAAGGCUAAAUACUCUCUAGUGACCGAUAGUGAACCAGUACCGUGAGGGAAAGGUGAAAAGCACCCCGGAAGGGGAGUGAAAUAGAACCUGAAACCGUGUGCUUACAAGUAGUCAGAGCCCGUUAAUGGGUGAUGGCGUGCCUUUUGUAGAAUGAACCGGCGAGUUACGAUUUGAUGCAAGGUUAAGCAGUAAAUGUGGAGCCGUAGCGAAAGCGAGUCUGAAUAGGGCGUUUAGUAUUUGGUCGUAGACCCGAAACCAGGUGAUCUACCCUUGGUCAGGUUGAAGUUCAGGUAACACUGAAUGGAGGACCGAACCGACUUACGUUGAAAAGUGAGCGGAUGAACUGAGGGUAGCGGAGAAAUUCCAAUCGAACCUGGAGAUAGCUGGUUCUCUCCGAAAUAGCUUUAGGGCUAGCCUCAAGUGAUGAUUAUUGGAGGUAGAGCACUGUUUGGACGAGGGGCCCCUCUCGGGUUACCGAAUUCAGACAAACUCCGAAUGCCAAUUAAUUUAACUUGGGAGUCAGAACAUGGGUGAUAAGGUCCGUGUUCGAAAGGGAAACAGCCCAGACCACCAGCUAAGGUCCCAAAAUAUAUGUUAAGUGGAAAAGGAUGUGGCGUUGCCCAGACAACUAGGAUGUUGGCUUAGAAGCAGCCAUCAUUUAAAGAGUGCGUAAUAGCUCACUAGUCGAGUGACACUGCGCCGAAAAUGUACCGGGGCUAAACAUAUUACCGAAGCUGUGGAUUGUCCUUUGGACAAUGGUAGGAGAGCGUUCUAAGGGCGUUGAAGCAUGAUCGUAAGGACAUGUGGAGCGCUUAGAAGUGAGAAUGCCGGUGUGAGUAGCGAAAGACGGGUGAGAAUCCCGUCCACCGAUUGACUAAGGUUUCCAGAGGAAGGCUCGUCCGCUCUGGGUUAGUCGGGUCCUAAGCUGAGGCCGACAGGCGUAGGCGAUGGAUAACAGGUUGAUAUUCCUGUACCACCUAUAAUCGUUUUAAUCGAUGGGGGGACGCAGUAGGAUAGGCGAAGCGUGCGAUUGGAUUGCACGUCUAAGCAGUAAGGCUGAGUAUUAGGCAAAUCCGGUACUCGUUAAGGCUGAGCUGUGAUGGGGAGAAGACAUCGUGUCUUCGAGUCGUUGAUUUCACACUGCCGAGAAAAGCCUCUAGAUAGAAAAUAGGUGCCCGUACCGCAAACCGACACAGGUAGUCAAGAUGAGAAUUCUAAGGUGAGCGAGCGAACUCUCGUUAAGGAACUCGGCAAAAUGACCCCGUAACUUCGGGAGAAGGGGUGCUCUUUAGGGUUAACGCCCAGAAGAGCCGCAGUGAAUAGGCCCAAGCGACUGUUUAUCAAAAACACAGGUCUCUGCUAAACCGUAAGGUGAUGUAUAGGGGCUGACGCCUGCCCGGUGCUGGAAGGUUAAGAGGAGUGGUUAGCUUCUGCGAAGCUACGAAUCGAAGCCCCAGUAAACGGCGGCCGUAACUAUAACGGUCCUAAGGUAGCGAAAUUCCUUGUCGGGUAAGUUCCGACCCGCACGAAAGGCGUAACGAUUUGGGCACUGUCUCAACGAGAGACUCGGUGAAAUCAUAGUACCUGUGAAGAUGCAGGUUACCCGCGACAGGACGGAAAGACCCCGUGGAGCUUUACUGUAGCCUGAUAUUGAAAUUCGGCACAGCUUGUACAGGAUAGGUAGGAGCCUUUGAAACGUGAGCGCUAGCUUACGUGGAGGCGCUGGUGGGAUACUACCCUAGCUGUGUUGGCUUUCUAACCCGCACCACUUAUCGUGGUGGGAGACAGUGUCAGGCGGGCAGUUUGACUGGGGCGGUCGCCUCCUAAAAGGUAACGGAGGCGCUCAAAGGUUCCCUCAGAAUGGUUGGAAAUCAUUCAUAGAGUGUAAAGGCAUAAGGGAGCUUGACUGCGAGACCUACAAGUCGAGCAGGGUCGAAAGACGGACUUAAUGAUCCGGUGGUUCCGCAUGGAAGGGCCAUCGCUCAACGGAUAAAAGCUACCCCGGGGAUAACAGGCUUAUCUCCCCCAAGAGUUCACAUCGACGGGGAGGUUUGGCACCUCGAUGUCGGCUCAUCGCAUCCUGGGGCUGUAGUCGGUCCCAAGGGUUGGGCUGUUCGCCCAUUAAAGCGGUACGCGAGCUGGGUUCAGAACGUCGUGAGACAGUUCGGUCCCUAUCCGUCGUGGGCGUAGGAAAUUUGAGAGGAGCUGUCCUUAGUACGAGAGGACCGGGAUGGACAUACCUCUGGUGUACCAGUUGUCGUGCCAACGGCAUAGCUGGGUAGCUAUGUGUGGACGGGAUAAGUGCUGAAAGCAUCUAAGCAUGAAGCCCCCCUCAAGAUGAGAUUUCCCAACUUCGGUUAUAAGAUCCCUCAAAGAUGAUGAGGUUAAUAGGUUCGAGGUGGAAGCAUGGUGACAUGUGGAGCUGACGAAUACUAAUCGAUCGAAGACUUAAUCAA